GCGGGUGUAGUUUAAUGGUAGAACAUCAGCUUCCCAAGCUGAGAGCGCGAGUUCGAUUCUCGUCACCCGCUC
rnacentral:tRNA from 13 species